GAAAUGCGAUAAGUAGUGUGAAUUGCAGAAUUCAGUGAAUCAUCGAAUCUUUGAACGCACAUUGCGCCCUUUGGUAUUCCUUAGGGCAUGCCUGUUCGAGCGUCAUCUAAACCUUCAAGCCCUGCUUGGUGUUGGGUGCCUGUCCGCCUCCGCGCGCGGACUCACCUCAAAUCCAUUGGCGGCCCCCGCGUCGGCCACGAGCGCAGCAGAAACGCGAACUCGUGAGCCCGUCCGGGCGGCUCCCAGAAGCUACACCCACCCAGUUUGACCUCGGAUCAGGUAGGGAUACCCGCUGAACUUAAGC
rnacentral:misc_RNA from 1 species